rnacentral:rRNA from 1 species
AUUGAACGCUGGCGGCAUGCCUUACACAUGCAAGUCGAACGGUAACAGGUCUUCGGAUGCUGACGAGUGGCGAACGGGUGAGUAAUACAUCGGAACGUGCCCGAUCGUGGGGGAUAACGAAGCGAAAGCUUUGCUAAUACCGCAUAAGAUCUACGGAUGAAAGCAGGGGAACGCAAGGCCUUGGGCGAACGGAGCGGCCGAUGGCAGAUUAGGUAGUUGGUGGGAUAAAAGCUUACCAAGCCGACGAUCUGUAGCUGGUCUGAGAGGACGACCAGCCACACUGGGACUGAGACACGGCCCAGACUCCUGCGGGAGGCAGCAGUGGGGAAUUUUGGACAAUGGGCGCAAGCCUGAUCCAGCCAUGCCGCGUGCAGGAUGAAGGCCUUCGGGUUGUAAACUGCUUUUGUACGGAACGAAAAGACUCUGGUUAAUACCUGGGGUCCAUGACGGUACCGUAAGAGUAAGCACCGGCUAACUACGUGCCAGCAGCCGCAGUAAGAC